ensembl:snRNA U1 U1 spliceosomal RNA
AAACUUACCUGGCAUGGGAAGAUGCCAUGAUCACAAAGGAUAUUUUCCCAGAGGAAGGUUUAUCAAUUGCACUCUGGAUGUGCUGACACUUUCAGUUUCCCCAAAUGUAAGAAAUUUCAUGGCAUAAUUUGUGGUAGUGGGGGACUGUGUUCAUGCUUUCCUCUG